UUGCAUGCCCCGUGGAGGUAAGCCCUUUUGUGGCUGAUCCACGUAUUUUGAUUGUUUUUUCUUUUAUUUUGUUUCUUCUUUCUUCCUGCUGCAUCGCGUGGUACUGAAAAGAUCUUGGGUGGUGGUGUCCUGGCCAGACAUCCACCCAACAUGGUGAUUCAACAUUCACAUUUUUGCUGUGAUAGUUGAAUCACGUAAUUCUUACAAUUGAUAACUAAUACUUAUAAAUUAUAGAAACAAGGUUUUAAAUCUUGCAGGAUGGAGGUGUCCUGGUUUUCCUAUGGAACGGGAUGCUCUACCGUCCCGCCCACUCCCAAUAGUGGUCCUAAUCAUACAUCUUGAUAAAUAUCCUCAAUCUCUCUCCCCUUCUUCUUUCUUUUCUUUUUUCUUUUUUCUUUUUUCUUUUAUUUCUUUUUUUUUCUUCUUACCUUUCUCUCUUUUCCUUUUUCUUUUUUUCCUAUCCUCUUUAUUUCUUUUUUCAUUUUUAUCCUUCUUUCUCUUUCCUUUCUUGCUCCUUUCCUUCAUUUCUUUCUUUUUCUUCUCCC
rnacentral:lncRNA from 1 species